UACGGAGGGUGCAAGCGUUAUCCGGAUUUACUGGGUUUAAAGGGUGUGUAGGCGGGCUUUUAAGUCAGUGGUGAAAUCUCUGGGCUCAACCCAGAAACUGCCAUUGAUACUAUUGGUCUUGAAUGUUGUGGAGGUGGGCGGAACGGGUCAUGUAGCGGUGAAAUGCAUAGAUAUGUCACAGAAGACCAAUUGCGAAGGCAGCUGGCUACAGGUUGAUUGACACUGAGGCACGAAAGCGUGGGGAUCAAACAGG
rnacentral:rRNA from 1 species